rnacentral:sRNA from 1 species
GCUGGGCACUGGUGGCGUAUGCCUGUAAUCCCAGUGGCUCAGGAGGCUGAGGCAGGAGGAUCAUGAGUUCAGUGCCAACCUCAGCAACAAUGAAGCACUAAGCAACCCAGUGAGACCCUGUCUCUA